rnacentral:rRNA from 1 species
CAUGUCUUUUUGAUUAUAAUUUAAAGUCUGACCUGCCCUAUGAAUUUGUUAAAUGGCCGCGAUAUUUUGAUCGUGCAAAGGUAGCAUAAUCAUUAGUUUCUUAAUUAGGAACUGGAAUGAAAGGUCGAACGAGAAAAGUACUGUCUCAAUUUAAUUUAAUUAGAAUUUUAUAUUUAAGUAAAAAAGCUUAAAUGAUUUUAAAAGACGAGAAGACCCUAUAGAGUUUUAUAUUUAUUUAUUUUUGAUGGAGGUUUAGAAUUUAAUUUUAUUAUUACUAAAUAAAUAUUUGGUUGGGGUGAUUAUAAAAUUAAUAAAACUUUUAUUUUUUUUUUUCAUUGAUAUAUGAUUUUUUGAUCCAUUUUUUAUGAUUAAAAGAUUAAAUUACCUUAGGGAUAACAGCGUUAUUUUUUUUAAGAGUUCUUAUCGAUAAAAAAGUUUGCGACC